rnacentral:rRNA from 1 species
CAGCCGCCACGGUAAAACGAAGGGGGCUAGCGUUGUUCGGAUUUACUGGGCGUAAAGGGCGCGUAGGCGGACUGAUAAGUCAGGGGUGAAAUCCCAAGGCUCAACCCUGGAACUGCCUUUGAUACUGAAGAUCUUGAGUUCGGGAGAGGUGAGUGGAACUGCGAGUGUAGAGGUGAAAUUCGUAGAUAUUCGCAAGAACACCAGUGGCGAAGGCGGCUCACUGGCCCGAUACUGACGCUGAGGCACGAAAGCGUGGGGAGCAAACAGGAUUAGAUACCCGAGUAGUCCCUGUCUCUUAUAC